GAACUACCAGAGACUGUCAGGAUCUGCGGCUUCAGCAGUUCCUCUGGUUUCCUUCUAGGUGGCGUUCGAGAGCUCGCUGCCGUAUUCACACACCCUCUCCACAGGUGUGUUUCGGCACACCUGUGGAUCAUCAGCGGGAGCAUAUUAGGAGCGGGUUCCCGGCACUUCGUCGCCAAAGUGUUGUCGCCUUUGUGGCUCCCUGUUGUCUGGACACUCCAUGCGAAGUACGGGAUUUGCAGUUCCAUCCGCUGAGCUCCCUGACGAGUUACGCCCACCUACCAGCUGUUCGAUCACACCGGUCCGCUCCUGAUCAGACGCUCCUGCAUUACACACCAAUUGUCUUUUGUAAAUAAAUCUUUAAUCUGA